AAAAAAUACUGUUCCUUCAAAGAGGCGUCGCCUCAAUGGCCUCAGCGCCUCUCACCUCAAUCUAAGGGGGCCGUCGCCUCCUCGAAGCCACACCGAGAGGUGUCAAGUGAGGCAUUAGAGUGGUGCCACACCUCCCUUGGAUAACGCUGAUCUUGAUGUGAACUAUCCCCUCGUUAAUGACCUUGUUAUCUGCCAAAUUUACCUUUCCCUUCCUCUUGGUAAUAGAAAGUAAAAUAUGAAUAUGUCCAGUUAAGUGUUAUGUGAAUAAAAGCUUUAUUAUCUAGAAUUCACUUUAUUAGAUUUG
rnacentral:misc_RNA from 1 species